GCGCAGCAGGCGAGAAACCUCCGCAAUGCGCGAAAGCGCGACGGGGCCACCCCGAGUGCCGCCCGCUGAGGGCGGCUUUUCCCCGGUGUAGACAGCCGGGGGAAUAAGGGGAGGGCAAGUCUGGUGUCAGCCGCCGCGGUAAUACCAGCGUCCCCGAGUGGUGGGGACGAUUAUUGGGGCCUAAAGCGUCCGUAGCCGGCCCGGCAAGUCUCCCGUUAAAUCCAGCGAUCUAAUCGCUGGACUGCGGGAGAUACUGUCGGGCUAGGGGGCGGGAGAGGCCGGCGGUAUUCCCCGGGGUAGGGGUGAAAUCCUAUAAUCCCGGGAGGACCACCAGUGGCGAAGGCUGCCGGCUGGAACGCGCCCGACGGUGAGGGACGAAAGCCGGGGGAGCGAACCGGAUUA
rnacentral:rRNA from 1 species